CAUAUUACUAUUAGAAAAAUAUCAAAAGUGAUAGACAUAUGUUGUACGUAUUUUAUGAAUAUACAUAUAACUGCGGCAACCACAAGAAAAUGCCUCAGAUGGAUAGAUGCACGGAUGGAUUUCAUUACACUAAUGUACUGGGUAAAUUGCCUUUUUAAUCAAGUGUAUUCAGCAAUUCAGAAGAAUCAAUUUGAGCAUAAAGUAUUUAUCAAUUUAUUGUGUAAGCUAUUCGAAAUAAAAGCAUAAAAAUACAUAUUUGAUUAUAAAAAUAAUAGAUGUACGAAGCUUAAUUUAAUGGACGG
rnacentral:sRNA from 1 species